rnacentral:rRNA from 1 species
GAUGAACGCUGGCGGCGUGCUUAACACAUGCAAGUCGAACGAAGCACUUUAUUUGAUUUCCUUCGGGACUGAUUAUUUUGUGACUGAGUGGCGGACGGGUGAGUAACGCGUGGGUAACCUGCCUUGUACAGGGGGAUAACAGUUGGAAACGGCUGCUAAUACCGCAUAAGCGCACGGCAUCGCAUGAUGCAGUGUGAAAAACUCCGGUGGUAUAAGAUGGACCCGCGUUGGAUUAGCUAGUUGGUGAGGUAACGGCCCACCAAGGCGACGAUCCAUAGCCGACCUGAGAGGGUGACCGGCCACAUUGGGACUGAGACACGGUCCAAACUCCUACGGGAGGCAGCAGUGGGGAAUAUUGCACAAUGGGCGAAAGCCUGAUGCAGCGACGCCGCGUGAGCGAAGAAGUAUUUCGGUAUGUAAAGCUCUAUCAGCAGGGAAGAUAAUGACGGUACCUGACUAAGAAGCACCGGCUAAAUACGUG